UACGGGGGGGGCAAGCGUUGUUCGGAAUUACUGGUCGUAAAGGGCUCGUAGGCGGCCAACUAAGUCGGACGUGAAAUCCCCAGGCUCAACCUGGGAACUGCGUCCGAUACUGGAUGGCUUGAAUCCGGGAGAGGGAUGCAGAAUUCCAGGUGUAGCGGUGAAAUGCGUAGAUAUCUGGAGGAAUACCGGUGGCGAAGGCGGCAUCCUGGACCGGCAUUGACGCUGAGGAGCGAAAGCCAGGGGAGCAAACAGG
rnacentral:rRNA from 1 species